UGGGGAAUCUUGGACAAUGGGGGCAACCCUGAUCCAGCCAUGCCGCGUGAGUGAUGAAGGCCCUAGGGUCGUAAAGCUCUUUCGCCUGUGAAGAUAAUGACGGUAGCAGGUAAAGAAACCCCGGCUAACUCCGUG
rnacentral:rRNA from 1 species